rnacentral:rRNA from 1 species
AACGUAGGGGGCCAGCGUUGCUCGGAAUUACUGGGCGUAAAGGGUCUGUAGGCGGUGCGGUAAGUCCGGAGUGAAAUCUCCAGGCUCAACUUGGAGGCUGCUUCGGAAACUGCCGUGCUCGAGUGUGGGAGAGGCGAGUGGAAUUGCAGGUGUAGCGGUGAAAUGCGUAGAUAUCUGCAGGAACACCAGUGGCGAAAGCGAUUCGCUGGACCACAACUGACGCUGAGAGACGAAAGCUAGGGGAGCAAACAGG